UACUAUUAUUAAUAAAAUAGUAUUUAGGGUGACUCACACUGAGAUAUUUGUGUGAGUUUAAUCAGCCAACUAAAAAGAAAAAUAAAUCCCAAUCUGUUAUUUGUCUUUAGACAUUAGUUUUCCUACUACUGUAGGAAAUAGCUGUGGUUACGAUGGUAAUAUUUUUUUUUUCUGCUUUUUCUUCGCCUGUUAUAUUAAUAGUUUGUGACACUGGGUACCAGAGAUAGCCUACAAAACCCAUCUGCAUGCAAUGCGCUUCAUUCCUCUUUUUCACCCUACUUUCUGUGUAGAUACUGUAUUUAUGACACAGGAGCUUGUACAAGCACAUGACUAUGAGAGAUGAAGGUGAAGCUCUGGCGGAAUUACUAAGAGACUUGAGGUCAGCUGGUGACAACAACUUUUCCCUGGGUUUUCUGAUUCUGCUCAUGCUGUGGAAAUGGAGGUGUAGGGUAGCAGAAGUCCUUGGCAGAUUUUGGAUCCUGCUGACUUUCAACACAAAGCAAUCUUUUACUGGCGUCGUCAUUCAAAACAGGGGCUUGUCUUACACUUUCAAUAAUGGAGAAAACAGCACAGCACUUUCUGGCGCUAAGCACAAGCCUGUGCAAAGUAUUCUUCCCAUCGCUCCUCAGCAAUGAUUCUUUCUGUAAUACUGAAACAGCAAACUGCCUUCAUUUCUCCAUGAAGAAAUGCAGAAUAGCAACAGUUCUUAAAACAGCACAGACCUUAUGAGGUUUAUACUGAACUCUGGUGGGAACCACUUGGGGCACCUUUAUCUGCAUCAGCUUCUGAUACCACUCAGAAAUGCUCACGUAAAUACUUUGUGGGACAUAGGCCAGGGCCAACCCACAGUGAUUUGUGAUGGUCAGUUGGGCUUCACCUCAACACAGAAAAGCCCAAAGAAGAUUUUAAUUCCUGAUUUUAAUUCCUCAGAAACAUCAGAUGUUUUACAUUGACAUGGAAUAAGUUUUAUGGUGUGACUCAGAUAACUCAUUUUUUGAAUUCAAGUCUCUUUGUGAAUUACUUAAAAAUAUGAAUUUACCUGUUCAGCUCCUUAAUAUCAUUCCAGUUGUUCUGAAGUUAAUAUAUGCCCCUAGCAAACAGUAUCAUUCCUUCAUUGUAAAACUAAAGACAUUUGUGGAUAACUCAGUAAGGUUUGCUAAGUGCUUCUACUUUUUGUAAUUUUCUAAUUAAGAAAAUAAAGGUGUACUGCUUCUACAUGA